CGCUCUCGCUCCCGCCGUGCCCUGGAGAUGCUGUCGGAGCUGCGCCGCCGCCUUUCCCCCCUCCCCCCCCAGGAAGCGACCCACGGCGCCAGAUCCCACGGAGAUCGUCCCCGGGGCGAUGAAGCUUAUGGAAAAAAAGACCAAAGGCCUCGAGGGAUGUUCUUCUUGACCCCCCGGGGCAAACGGAGGUGUCAGCGUCAGA